GUGAGUUAGCUGACCUAGUUAAUAAAGCAGCUGAUUUCAGUAUUGUGUAGCCUGGGUCGGUUAUAUAAAGCAUUACAAAUUCAUAUAGUGUGUUAAUAUACUAAACCGAAAUAAUUGAUUGCAUGCAGUUAUAACGCUGAUUACUUGUACUAACGCUAUAAGACGUGCAGGAAGACUAAAUGGACGGAGCUCCAGUGGCGCAAUCGGUUAGCGCGCGGUACUUAUACAGCAGUACAAUGCAGAGCAAUGCCGAGGUUGUGAGUUCGAGCCUCACCUGGAGCACAGCUUUUGGAAACCGAAUUGCUUGUUUUUUGAGUUAUUUCUGUUUGUUGGAUCUUACAUGAUGCAGUAAUGACUUCAAAUAUCCUAUUACCCCACAGGACUGGUGGAGGCCAGGAUACAAUUAACAUGAGAUCAGUGGAAAGCAAUGUCUGUGCCGAGAAAGGAGCUGCAUUGAGCAGAACAAACAUUAACACACUGGAGCUGGGUUGUGGUGGAUCCAGAGCCUAUCCCAGGAACACUGGGUGCAGGGAGUUAUUGGGUGGCGUUAUUCCUGUUUGCUGGAUCAUAAAUGAAGUGCAUAGACAAUCCACUCACCAGCAUGUUGUUGAGAAGUUGGAGGAAACUGGAGAAACAGGAGGAAACCCACAUGGACAGAGGGACAACAGACAGUAACCAAAUCUCAAGAUUGAGCUAGGACCCUGGAACUGUGAGGUGGCAACAAAAAUAUAAUACAAAAUAUCCGAUAUAUUCCACAGUUCUCAAAAACUGUAAUGUGAUUACAUUCUCUUCAGAUAUAAUUCAUUAGUUUAUUUGUGCUGACAUACAGAGUGACAGUAAUUAAGUAGGCUGUUACCCCUGUUACCCCUACUCAUGGACUUAAAUAUAGUACACUUAAGACAUUUUUUGUGAAAUCAGUGCUUUGCCCAUACAUGCCCUCUGUCAAUGGCAAGUCAGCAGCAUCCACCAUCACUGUGUUCUGUCAGCACUUGUGGUGUUUCAAGAGACCAUAUGCUUAGUUGACUUUGGAACACGGACAAGACCAAACACACAAUCAUCACUACAAUGCAUUUCCCUUAGCCAGACAUUCCAGUAAAGUUUC
ensembl:lncRNA